rnacentral:rRNA from 1 species
AGUUAAGUGACUAAGCGCACAAGGUGGAUGCCUUGGCAAUCAGAGGCGAAGAAGGACGUGCUAAUCUGCGAAAAGCUUGGAUGAGUCGAUAAGAGGCGUUUAAUCCAAGAUGUCCGAAUGGGGAAACCCAGUAGGUGAAGAACCUACUAUCACCCAGUGAAUACAUAGCUGUGUGAGGCAAACCGGGAGAACUGAAACAUCUAAGUACCCCGAGGAAAAGAAAUCAACCGAGAUUUCGUUAGUAGCGGCGAGCGAACGCGAAAGAGCCAGUUAGUGAUAGCAGUAAAGUUAGGGGAAUGUUCUGGGAAGGACAAUCGUAGAGGGUGAUAAUCCCGUACCUUAAAACUCCAUUGUGGUACUAGGCUAACAACAAGUAGGGCGGGACACGUGAUAUCCUGUUUGAAGAUGGGGGGACCAUCCUCCAAGGCUAAAUACUCCUGAUUGACCGAUAGUGAACCAGUACUGUGAAGGAAAGGUGAAAAGAACCCCGGCGAGGGGAGUGAAAUAGAACCUGAAACCUUGUGCGUACAAGCAGUGGGAGCAAGAGUAAUCUUGUGACUGCGUACCUUUUGUAUAAUGGGUCAGCGACUUAUAUUUUGUAGCAAGGUUAACUGAAUAAGGGAGCCGUAGGGAAACCGAGUCUUAACUGGGCGUGUAGUUGCAAGGUAUAGACCCGAAACCCGGUGAUCUAGCCAUGGGCAGGUUGAAGGUUGGGUAACACUAACUGGAGGACCGAACCGACUAAUGUUGAAAAAUUAGCGGAUGACUUGUGGCUGGGGGUGAAAGGCCAAUCAAACCGGGAGAUAGCUGGUUCUCCCCGAAAUCUAUUUAGGUAGAGCCUUGAGCGGACACCUUCGGGGGUAGAGCACUGUUUCGGCUAGGGGUCCAUCCCGGAUUACCAACCCGAUGCAAACUGCGAAUACCGAAGAGUGAUACUCAGGAGACACACGGUGGGUGCUAACGUCCAUCGUGGAGAGGGAAACAACCCAGACCGCCAGCUAAGGUCCCAAAGUCUAUAUUAAGUGGGAAACGAAGUGGGAAGGCUUAGACAGCUAGGAUGUUGGCUUAGAAGCAGCCACCAUUUAAAGAAAGCGUAAUAGCUCACUAGUCGAGUCGGCCUGCGCGGAAGAUGUAACGGGGCUCAAAUAUAGCACCGAAGCUGCGGCAUCAGACGAAAGUCUGUUGGGUAGGGGAGCGUUGUGUAAGUCGAUGAAGGUGGAUUGAGAAGUCUGCUGGAGAUAUCACAAGUGCGAAUGCUGACAUAAGUAACGAUAAAACGAGUGAAAAACUCGUUCGCCGGAAGACCAAGGGUUCCUGUCCAACGUUAAUCGGGGCAGGGUGAGUCGGCCCCUAAGGCGAGGCUGAAAAGCGUAGUCGAUGGGAAACGGGUUAAUAUUCCCGUACUUGUAAUAACUGCGAUGUGGGGACGGAGAAGGUUAGGUUAGCAGACUGUUGGAUGUCUGUUUAAGCCGGUAGGUGGGAAGAUUAGGCAAAUCCGGUCUUCCUUAACACCGAGAAGUGAUGACGAGUCUCUACGGAGAUGAAGUAAUCGAUACCACGCUUCCAGGAAAAGCCACUAAGCUUCAGGUUAUUAUAAACCGUACUAUAAACCGACACAGGUGGUCAGGUAGAGAAUACUCAGGCGCUUGAGAGAACUCGGGUGAAGGAACUAGGCAAAAUAGCACCGUAACUUCGGGAGAAGGUGCGCCGGCGUAGAUUGUAGUCCCUUGCGGAUGAAGGUUGAACCGGUCGAAGAUACCAGCUGGCUGCAACUGUUUAUUAA